UGCUACGACGCUCUCUUCCUCGGCUCUACCUCAUCCCCACAUGCCGAGCUCACCUGGAAGACUUGGGCCCCCCUGAGCGUCAAGUUCUUCAUAUGGUUGGCCCCGCAGGACCGGUGCUGGACGAACGAGUGGCUCGUGCGCCACGGACUGCCACAUAGCAGCGCCUGCACACUCUGCGAUCAGGCCACUGAAUCUAUGCAGCACCUUUUGAUUGGCCGCUCCUUCUCUCGCAUGGUGUGGCACGACGUAUUCUCCAGGCUACGGCUCACCAGCAGCAUUCCCCUCGGCCACGAGCCCUUCUUC
rnacentral:rRNA from 1 species